AUUGAACGCUGGCGGCAGGCCAAACACAUGCAAGUCGAACGGUAGCACAGAGAGCUUGCUCUUGGGUGACGAGUGGCGGACGGGUGAGUAAUGUCUGGGAAACUGCCCGAUGGAGGGGGAUAACUACUGGAAACGGUAGCUAAUACCGCAUAACGUCUUCGGACCAAAGUGGGGGACCUUCGGGCCUCACACCAUCGGAUGUGCCCAGAUGGGAUUAGCUAGUAGGUGGGGUAAUGGCUCACCUAGGCGACGAUCCCUAGCUGGUCUGAGAGGAUGACCAGCCACACUGGAACUGAGACACGGUCCAGACUCCUACGGGAGGCAGCAGUGGGGAAUAUUGCACAAUGGGCGCAAGCCUGAUGCAGCCAUGCCGCGUGUAUGAAGAAGGCCUUCGGGUUGUAAAGUACUUUCAGCGGGGAGGAAGGCGUUAAGGUUAAUAACCUUGGCGAUUGACGUUACCCGCAGAAGAAGCACCGGCUAACUCCGUGCCAGCAGCCGCCGUAA
rnacentral:rRNA from 1 species